GCUCCGAGCCGCUCGCCCCGCCGCCCGCCAGAGGGUGCCCCCCCGCCCCCAAGUCGGAUCCUUGAGCUGCGGCGGCGGCAGCCAACUGCUCCAUAUUUGGCUUCUAUUACACAUUUACAUACUGGAGCGAGCGAGCGAGCGAGAGAGCGCGAGAGAGCGCGAGGGAGGGAGGGAGGGAGCGAGGGAGGGCGGUCGGAGGGAGGAGGGAGGGGAGGGGAGCGGGGGGAGGAGGAGGAGGAGAGAGCAGAGUAUACCGCAGACAUCAUUUCUACUACAGUGGCGGAGCCGUACAGGACCUGUUUCACUGCAGGGGGAUCCAAAACAAGCCCCGUGGAGCAGCCGCCAGAGCUACAGCAGCCGCAAGACACUGUUUCUCUCCCUCUGCCCCCCCUUCCCCACGCAACCCCAGAUCCAUUUACACUUUACAGAGCAUCGUGCAGCAAGUCAUCAGGGUGGUCCCUUCAAGCUGCAGAUUUGUGUGUCAUCCUUGUACCACAGUCUCCUCCUCUACGGCCACUACAGGGAAGUCCAUCACAUAUCAGGAUACUGGAGCAAAAUGAAAGAGUUGAUUUUGAGACCUCAGAAGUAGUGCUGCUACAGGUCAUGAACAAGAGAGAAGGAGUGGACUUCAGCCUGCACAAAUGGUCUUGA
rnacentral:lncRNA from 1 species